rnacentral:rRNA from 1 species
UUAAAUUGAAGAGUUUGAUCAUGGCUCAGAUUGAACGCUGGCGGCAGGCCUAACACAUGCAAGUCGAACGGUAACAGGAAGAAGCUUGCUUCUUUGCUGACGAGUGGCGGACGGGUGAGUAAUGUCUGGGAAACUGCCUGAUGGAGGGGGAUAACUACUGGAAACGGUAGCUAAUACCGCAUAACGUCGCAAGACCAAAGAGGGGGACCUUCGGGCCUCUUGCCAUCGGAUGUGCCCAGAUGGGAUUAGCUAGUAGGUGGGGUAACGGCUCACCUAGGCGACGAUCCCUAGCUGGUCUGAGAGGAUGACCAGCCACACUGGAACUGAGACACGGUCCAGACUCCUACGGGAGGCAGCAGUGGGGAAUAU